AAGCUGGCAACUAAUCUGUAUAAUCAUCUUCAAGGAAAGGCAAGAAAAUAGUGUGCAGCAGCAAAGCUUUACUUUUUUUAAGAAAGCAAAGCUUCAGCUAUUUCUUCAGCAAGGAACCAAAUUCAGAAAUCAAAGUCCAAACAGAGAAUAAAUGUUUCCCUAUAGAGCUUAUAGGCAAAGAGGUAAAAACAAGCAGAUCUAAAUACCAAAUGCUAAUGUAAUAUUGGUAUCCAUAAGCAGUAGCUUCAGAUCCUAAAAUUCAUCAGCACUGCAACCACAUAUUUUUCACUCUUCUGUCUAUUUCCCCUUUCAUAUCAUUCAACUCUUUGUUUAUUGGAUCUUCAUAAACACCAAAAAUCUCAAGGAUUUACAUGCACAUUAGAAAUUAAACUUGCCUUAGCAUUCUAUUUGUAAACUGCACCAAAAGAGAGAAGCCACAGGCAUCUAGGGCGAAGAUGAACUCGCACGUAUGUACACUGGGAAGCAUGCAUAUGAAAGUUAGAAGCAUACGUUUACCUAUGGUUGUAAUCACUAUGAAUAGAAUUAGCAACUACUAUUUAUUCGUUACUUGAAUGGAAUCAACAACGGCUUUCAUGCAUUGCAUAUACGACGGCUGGCCCUAUAUGCCUCCUCUACCUUAUCUCGUAACUACUACUAAUAAUUGUUGACUGGGCUCGGCUGCUGUCUAAACAAAGACAACUGCAUUCAAGCACAGGGCAGUACCUCCUAAGACUGAAGCUUUAAUUAACAGAAGCAAGCAUCUGCCAAUUUAUUGAAGGAAGAACACCACGCCUGAAACACAGCAGGCCUAUCAACUUAAUCCAGACAUAUAAAUCUGUGGUCACACCAGCACCAUCACACCUAAAAACUUAGGAAAAGUCUGUAGUCCAUGUCACAAUUAUAAAUACUAUGUUUUCACCUUAAAUUAUCAUAAAAGAGAAAUAAAAAUACAAGAGUAAUAUAAUGCAGACCAAUGCACAACACAUCAUGUGAAGAUUUCCAAAGAUAAGCAAUCAGAUCAGUUCAGUUGCACGCAACAUGUUCAUACAACUACUUCCACAAACAGUUCAAGUAGGCUUUCAUAAACUCACUUGCACCAAUCCAUCCCUUGCGAGUAAACAGCAACC
rnacentral:lncRNA from 1 species